rnacentral:rRNA from 1 species
CAGUAGCCGCGGGAAUACAGAGGGUGCGAGCGUUAAUCGGAUUUACUGGGCGUAAAGCGUGCGUAGGCGGCUUCUUAAGUCGGAUGUGAAAUCCCUGAGCUUAACUUAGGAAUUGCAUUCGAUACUGGGAAGCUAGAGUAUGGGAGAGGAUGGUAGAAUUCCAGGUGUAGCGGUGAAAUGCGUAGAGAUCUGGAGGAAUACCGAUGGCGAAGGCAGCCAUCUGGCCUAAUACUGACGCUGAGGUACGAAAGCAUGGGGAGCAAACAGGAUUGGAUACCCGCGUAGUCCCUGUCUCUUAUAC